AACUAGCCCCGGGAGGAGCGGCAUCCUUUGCUGACGGGGUUCGGCAGCAAAGAUAUAGCGGAUCACGGGAGGGGAU
rfam:Flavobacterium succinicans strain DD5b FLB_contig000060, whole genome shotgun sequence.